rnacentral:rRNA from 1 species
UACGAGGGGGGCAAGCGUUGUUCGGAAUUAUUGGGCGUAAAGGGCGCGUAGGCGGUCUGACAAGUCUUGUGUGAAAUCUCUGGGCUCAACCCAGAGUCUGCACAGGAAACUGUCGGGCUAGAGUAUGGGAGAGGUGCGUGGAAUUUCCGGUGUAGCGGUGAAAUGCGUAGAUAUUGGGAGGAACACCAGUGGCGAAGGCGGCUCACUGGACCGGUUCUGACGCUGAAGCGCGAAAGCGUGGGGAGCAAACGGG